rnacentral:rRNA from 1 species
UAAGCCAUGCAUGUCUAAGUCCAGCUGUGUUUACACGGCGAGACCGCGGACGGCUCAUUAAAUCAGUCGUGGUCCAAAUGGGCCAGUGUUGAUCCNACUUGGACAACUGUGGUAAUUCCAGAGCUAAUACAUGCAACUCAWAUCCAGACGGGGCUUCCCCGGUCGUUCCUUGUGUUCGCCGGGUGUUGUCGCUGACGGAUGCUUUUAUUAGACCAAACCGCUGAGGGCGUCGGUCUUUCGGGGCCUUCGUUUGACUCGUGUUAUGGUGACUCUGAAUAACCUUUUGACAAGCGCACGUACCACUCUUUGAGUUGGACGGCGCUGCCACUUUCGAGUGUCUGCCUUAUCAGCUAUCAACCGUUCGUUAUGUGCGACCGAUGGCUUUGACGGGUAACGGGGAAUCAGAGUUCGAUUCCGGAGAGGCAGCCUGAGAGACGGCUACCACGUCCAAGGACGGCAGCAGGCACGCAAAUUACCCAAUCCCAGCUAAUGGGGGAGGUAGUGACGAAAUCUAACGAUGCGGGCGCCCUUUCUGGGGCCCCGCAAUCGGAAUGGGCACUUUCUAAACAACCUGUUGAGAACCUACUGAAGGGCAAGUCUGGUGCCAGCAGCCGCGGUAAUUCCAGCUUCAGCAGCAUCUAUUAAAGUUGCUGCGGUUAAAAGGCUCGCAGUUGAAUGUCAGUAUCGAGCGCAGGUAGGUGGACGUUSGGGCGUGGGAUUAACGGCGUGUGCGCCCGCACUCGCUUGCGCGUUUGUGUGGUAAUCGCGUCUCUCACAAGCUCCCGUCCGUAACAAGCCUCCUCGCUUGCGUACAUAUCGGAUUCGGUUUAACGGAGUGUGCUCAUGAGGCGGCGGAUGCUUCGGAUGGUUGGUCUGAGGUGCGUGUGUGCGCGCUUGCGMGUGUGUGCGUGUCGCUUCUUCCUUCGUUCUCUUCCAAGUCUGGCACGUUAAGCUCCUUCGUAUCUAAAGUCACCUUGAGUAAAUCAGAGUGCUCAAAGCAGUCGUAGGGGCCUCGUGCCCCGUGAACAGUCUUGACGGACUGACUUGGUUUUGCAUGGCAUGUCGAAAGACGACGUCGUGUGCAGGCUCAGAGAUUUACAUCAGUGGUAUAAGCCUGUCGCGACGUAAUGAUUAAAAGGGUCGGUCGAGGGCAUUGGUAUUGCGAGGCGAGAGGUGAAAUUCUGUGACCCUCGCAAGACCUCCCGAAGCGAAAGCGUCUGCCAAGGACGUCUUCAUAAUCAUGAACGACUGCGGCUUAUUUGACUCAACACGGGCCAUCUCACCAGGCCAGCACUCUUGUAUGAUUGACAGAUUGAGAGCUCUUUCUCGAUUCAGUGGAUGGUGGUGCAUGGCCGUUCUUAGUUGGUGGAGUGAUCUGUCUGGUUAAUUCCGAUAACGAACGAGACUCUCCCCUGCUAACUAGUCGGUUGGAUCUUGCUCGGUGAGUCGUGCGCCGGGAAUAAGCUCGGUAGUUGUCGUUCGUUGUACUUGUUGUUCGGUUGGCUUCGGUCUUCCCUGCGCAUUUGCUCGUUCGCGCUGCUGGGUCUCUCGGGUCGUACACUCCAAGUCCGCCGCUUAUGCUAUAACUCUUCUUAGAGGGAUUCACGGCACUGAAGCCGUUCGAGACUGAGAGCAAUAACAGGUCUGUGAUGCCCUUAGAUGCUCUGGGCCGCACGCGCGCUACAAUGCCGGGCACAGCAGGUAGUUCUCCUGCUCCGUCAGGAGCGGGUAACCCUCUGAAAGCCCUGGUUUUCCUCGUGUCUCUGCGACACGAGCGGCGUGCUUGGGCCUGGGGCUUGCAAUUGUUUCCCACAAACGAGGAAUGCCUAGUAGCGGCGGGUCACUGAGCCCGCCGUGACUCAGUCCCUGCCCUUUGUACACACCGCCCGUCGCUACUACCGAUUGGGUGUACCAGUGAGAGCCUUGGACUGGCGUCCGUUGCCUUCGGGUAAACGGGUCCGACGGAAAGAGGUCCGAACUGGUGCACUUAGAGGAAGUAAAAGUCGUAACAVGGUUUCCUWAGUUGACCUGC